AGCAGCCGCGGUAAUUCCAGCUCCAAUAGCGUAUAUUAAAGUUGCUGCAGUUAAAAAGCUCGUAGUUGAAUUUCGGGAUCAAUAUGUUGGUCGUGCCUCGGUACGUACUAGCUUAUUGGUUUCUCCCUUCUGACGAACCAUGAUGUCAUUUAUUUGGUGUUAUGGGAAAUCAGGACUGUUACUUUGAAAAAUUAGAGUGUUUAAAGCAGGCUCACGCUUGAAUACAUUAGCAUGGAAUAAUGAAAUAGGACGUUUGAUUCUAUUUUGUUGGUUUCUAGGAUCGACGUAAUGAUUAAUAGGGAUAGUUGGGGGCAUUAGUAUUCAAUUGUCAGAGGUGAAAUUCUUGGAUUUAUUGAAGACUAACUACUGCGAAAGCAUUUGCCAAGGAUGUUUUCAUUAAUCAAGAACGAAAGUUAGGGGAUCGAAGACGAUCAGAUACCGUCGUAGUCUUAACCAUAAACUAUGCCGACUAGGGAUCGGAUGAUGUUAAUUUUUAAUGUACUCAUUCGGCGCCUUACGG
rnacentral:rRNA from 1 species